rnacentral:rRNA from 1 species
AGCAGCCGCGGUAAUUCCAGCUCCAAUAGCGUAUAUUAAAGUUGUUGCAGUUAAAAAGCUCGUAGUUGAAUUUCGGGGUUAGUAGGUUGGUCAUGCCUCUGGUAUGUACUGGUCUCACUGAUUCCUCCUUCCUGAUGANCCGUAAUGCCAUUAAUUUGGUGUUGCGGGGAAUUUGGACUGUUACUUUGAAAAAAUUAGAGUGUUUAAAGCAAGCUAACGCUUGAAUACAUUAGCAUGGAAUAAUGAAAUAGGACGUUCGAUCCUAUUUUGUUGGUUUCUAGGAUUGACGUAAUGAUUAAUAGGGAUAGUUGGGGGCAUUAGUAUUCAAUUGUCAGAGGUGAAAUUCUUGGAUUUAUUGAAGACUAACUACUGCGAAAGCAUUUGCCAAGGAUGUUUUCAUUAAUCAAGAACGAAAGUUAGGGGAUCGAAGACGAUCAGAUACCGUCGUAGUCUUAACCAUAAACUAUGCCGACUAGGGAUCGGAUGAUGUUAAUUUUU